rnacentral:tRNA from 1 species
GUCCCUGUAGUGCAGUGGAUAGCUCGUUGGACUUCUAAUUCAAAGGUCGUGGGUUCGAAUCCUACCUGGGAUG